rnacentral:rRNA from 1 species
AGCGGCGGACGGGGGAGUAACGCGUGGGUAACCUGCCUCAUACAGGGGGGUAACAGUUAGAAAUGACUGCUAAUACCGCAUAAGACCACGGUACCGCAUGGUACAGUGGUAAAAACUCCGGUGGUAUGAGAUGGACCCGCGUCUGAUUAGGUAGUUGGUGGGGUAACGGCCUACCAAGCCGACGAUCAGUAGCCGACCUGAGAGGGUGACCGGCCACAUUGGGACUGAGACACGGCCCAG